ACGGAACCACCCUCAUACGUAUAACUGAGAGUCGGUAGACCUACGGUGCGGUUCGGUGCACGACAGUACAGGACACUGCAUGACCAAUUGAUCAGCAAUCAUGUACCACCAGACACCAGUACACUUUCUUGUUUUGUGAACCCUCAGUUCAUUCCAUGUUUUGUGGUCUCAUUUGAUUGCUACUUAACAUUUGACCAGCCUUUGUGGAUUUAGCACUCAUUUUUCUUUUAUUAUUUUUGGUUUAUUUGGCUCUUUAAUUUUAUAAAAAAAUUAUUUUAUUUUUUAUUUAAUGUUUCGUCUUCUUUCAAUUUUUAAAUUUAUAAUUUUUAUAAAAUCAUCUCUGUAAUACCCAAUUUUAGCCCGGGCCUAAAAAAACAAAGGUGCCCAAUCCAUUUAAAAACUUAAUUCACGUGGCCCAAUUACAAAUGUUACAAGCCCAAAUUGUAACCCAAUUACAUUAGCCUAAAACCUAAUUUAACCUAGCCCAAUAAACCCAUCAAAGAACCCUCUUCGCAUCAGUGCUACAGCAGCAAGUAGCCUCCCCAGUGCCGCACACGUUCUUCCUCCAGCGGUUAUCACCUCGCACAACCCACAUUCUCCAACGCCCACACCUGCAACAGAUCAUGACCACGAACAAAGAUAAUAGCAGAAAAUACAAGGGAAAAAAGGAAAAAAAGAGAGUAGUUUUUGGGAGUUUUGAUUCCCUUAUUUGGCUAUUAAAGCCAAAAGGAUUUUUGUAAAUCGGGGUUAGAAAUUUCAGGUACUGAAAUAAAAAGAGAAAAUACAAAAGAGAAAGAAAUAGAAAAGAAAGUUUUUGAAGGUGAUUAUUUUGUUUUUUCUUUACUUUUAUUGUUUUUUGGAUGUUCUUCUUGGUUCUUUAAAACAAAUAAACGAAGAGGGAGAGAAAGGAGGCUUACCUGGUGUUGCCGGAGCGUCGUCGGAGGCCAAGGGACGGCCUGGUGGCGGUGGAUCUUUGACGGCGGCGACGUGGGGGGUGCUAGGGUUGAAACCCUAACAGAGCAACCCCCCUUUUUUUUCCCUCUCCUCUUUGUUUUAAAACAGAAAAUGAUUUUUUUUUAAGAAAAAUUUUAGUUUUAAUAUAUUAUCAAAACGGCGCCGUAUUAGUGACCCGUGCGACCCGACCCAUAAACCAGUUUGGAUCCGCGCGUUUCCAGUAGAGGGGAUAUUUAUCUCCUUGGUCCUUCCUAUUUUAUAAUGUGUUUUAAAUUAAAUUUAUUAAUUUUUUUAAUUUGUACUGCACAUUUUAUUUUUGUUUCAAAUUGGUCCAAUAUUGCGCAAUGCUUUAGGUGGUUUGGGUAAAUUGUUUUUUGGUCCUUCCCUUGGUUGCGCGUAUUUAAAUUACUCCCUUUCUUAUUUUUGUUUUCAAAUUCAGCUCUCAAAUUUUGUUUGGCUUUUAAAUUUAGUCCUUAAUUUGUUUUUUUAGUUUUUUUUUUAUAUUUUUUAUUAGUGUAAUUAUUACUAUAUUAUCAUUAUUAUAUGUAUAUAUGUGCGCGUAUAUAUAUAUGUUAAUAUAUAUGUAUGUUCUCAAUGUUUCAAAUAUAUAGGCAGUACGUAAAUAUGUUUUAUCAUAUCAUUUUAUUUUUAUAGUUUAUAUAUGUUUUAUAUACAUUCAUAUAUUUUUAUAAUAAUAUUUAUACUUUCAGGUUUUAUAAUUCAUAUGUUUAUAUAUUUUAUAACGUGUACAUAUAUUUUUGCAAUCUUUUCAAGGCUAUUAUAAAUAUUUUCCAUGUUUUUAUAUUUACUAAUACAUUAUACUUAUUUUUUUAAAAAUAUAUUAAUAUAUUUUAUAUGUUUUUUAUCAUUGUUUUUAUUUCUAUGACUUAUACAUUUUUUUUCACAUCCUUAUACAUGUUUGCUAAAAUUGUUUAUAUAUCAUACUUAUGAAUACGCAUAAUUUGAAUUAAAAUAUUUGUUUUAUACUGCAUUAACAUUUUUAAUAUAUUUUUAAAAUUUAUUUUGAUUUUUUCAAAACAUUAAAAAUCAUAUUUUAUGAUUCAAAGGUUUUAAAAAUAAAAACGAUAUUCAAGGUUAGGAAUUUUCGAGGAAAAUUGAGCCCUAACUUAUUGGGUUCCGAUUUUCUUUAUUAAUUCCAAAUAACCGAGAAUAUUUGUUAUUUAAAAUAUAUAAGUAAAAAAUCAAUUUUGGGAACUUAAUUUGUUAUGUCCUAACGUAUUGGGCAUGACAUAAUUGCUUCCUCGAAAUGAAGAAUUACUUAUAAAGCAAAAGUGAUAUUCAAAGUUCGGGGGUUUUGUGAAAUUGUACCCUAACGUAUUGGGUCUCGAUAUCUUUAUCUAACUUGAACAUUUGAUUAUCCGUUUCAGAUUUCAACAUUAGAGUUUAACAAAAAUCUUUUUAACCUUCGACAUUAAGACAGUAAAUAAUCAAUUUGGUAUCGAUUUUUGGGCGUUACGAGGGUGCUAACCCUUCCUCGUACGUAACUGACUCCCGAACCCAUUUUCUCAAAUUUCGUAGACCAAAUUUGUUUUUAAGGUGGGCCGAUCACACCUAAAUCACAGAUCGGUGGCGACUCCAAUUUUUUGUUUUUUUAAAAAAGUCGACAACUAAAUUUUUAUUUUCAAAAAAAUGGUUUCGACAGCUUGGCGACUCCACUGGGGACCUAGAGAGUCGAGCCAUAAAAUUGAUUAUUUUGUGUCUUCUUGUCGAAAGUUAAUGUUGUUUUAGCAAUGAUUUCCCCUUUUGCAUUUAUUGGUUUCCAUUGUUAUGUAUUUGCUUUAUUGGUCUAAGUCUGUUAGUUUAUUUGCAUUUUGCAUUUCAUGGUCAAUUUUACCCCUCUAAGUGGGAGUGAGAAGCUUCUCCUUCGUGAGGUUUUCACCUCCAUGCAGGAUAGUGAAUCACUUUCGGGAUACAUCCGUACCUAUGUCUUCGUGAGAUUUUCAUCUCCGUGCAGCCAUAGGGAAAUGUAUUCCACUGAACCGAACUCGGUCUAUAUGAGCCUAUGAUGGGUGAGGAUCGAGGAAUCUGCUGGUUCGGGUACCUUUGCUCUAGAAGCCAAACCUCAUAUAGUGAAAUUUAGGAACUUACCCUAGGUAGAAUUAUACCAAACCCUAGUAGUUACCCAAGUAGGUAUUUCAUUAUUUUCUGUUUGCUUUAUACCUGAUACUGACUUGUUGUGUUUUGUUUUGACUGCAUGACAUUUUGAUUGCAUUGCAUUUGCAUAUUAGAAAAGAGAUGUUGAUUCAAGUUCGAUUACUAACUUAGAAAGCUUGUCAUGGAAUACGGAUUUUUUGAUAAAAUGGAAGAUAAUACAAUUGCCCGAAUAUAUCCUGAGAAACACGAUAAGGGUGAUGGAAGAGUUCAUGACUUUACUUCAUGGCCCGAGGAUUCAAGCUGAUUAUUCGAGAGCUGUCGACAUUCCAACUUCUUUAAAGAAGCUGAUAAGCCUUACGAGGAUGGGCAGACGAUGGAUUGCAACCAAUAUCAAGAAAAAAGGAGCUAGUAGUGCUAUUCAUUGGAAAUUUGUGAGAUUUAUCUUAAACAUCUAGAUGAAGUAAGAGGUCGAUGUUUCUUAGAGUAUGAGGGCGAGGCUGUACAUGCAUCCGUUUUAUGUAAAGAAGUUUGUCUUCUAGUGAAGUUUUCUAAAUGGAAUUGAAUCAGAAUCAACGUCUCUUUAUGCAUUUAUUUCAUGCAUUCGCAUUACAUGACAUCCCAUGCAUUAAAAUCCAUUGAAAAAGCCUAAUUGAGUAAAAUUAUUUCAGUUAAUUUGGAAAACCAACACCCUCACGGCAUCCAAGCAAAGACUAGAGAAAUGGACCAAAGGUUGGAGAAAUUAGAGCAAAUACAAGUGCGGAUGCAGGAGCAAUUAACCAAAUUUCAGCAAGAUAUGAGAGAUCAGUUGUUAGAAUUCCAAAGAAGUAUAAAGUGCCAGUUAACCCAGUUAUUGGCUAAAUGGUUAAAAAGAGGAAAAACCCCAGUGGUCCACUUUGGGGAUAAUAAUGAGGACCCUACAUAUCAUUCAGGCUUCACCCCAAAAAAUACCCAAGCACAACCAAAUAUCCACAAAGGGUAAUUGUUAACAUCCGACCCCGAUAUCAGACCAGCACCUCGACACCGGUGAAUUUCUAGACUGGCUCAGGUUCCAACUCGAUGGGCAAUUUAACUAAUCCUAUUGUCAUUGAUGAUCAAGCAGAAACAGAACAGGCGAGGGUGGAGUUCCCAAAACAGUUUGAAGAUCGUUACAAAUGGAAAGGGCGAGAGUGGAACUCUCAAAUCAAUACUUUAAAUGACCCAAGGAAGAAGGGGAAUAAGGGGGAUAAUGUAGGCAGAUAUAACAGGGGCUACUCAAAACCAAUCACUGUGGGCCGACCAAAGACAGAAAUCACUAGCUGUCAGAGCCCUUUAAAGCGAGAAUCUUACAUUGAAGGCAAAUAUAGAAGGGCUUCAGUUCACGCCUAUACCGAUGUCAUAUAGCGAGCUAUAUCAAAGCUUAUUUAAUGCACAUGUGGUGUCCCCCUUCUAUUUGAAACCAAUGUUGCCCCCAUUUCCUAAAUGGUAUAAUGUAAAUGCUCAGUGUGAAUACCAUGCAGGAAUUGCGGGGCAUUCGAUAGAAAAUUGCACCGCUUUCAAGAAAUUGGUUGAAAGGCUCAUCAAUAUGGACAUUGUCAGAUUUGAGGAUUCAUCGAGUGCAGGAAAUUCGUUACCCAAUCAUAUUGAUAAUGGGGUGAAUGCGGUGUAUGAAAAAGUGUAGGAGAAUGUUCACAUCAAUUCCAUACAUGAAGACACAAUUGAAAAGGGACCUUAUUAUAUAUCCAUCCUUAUAAACUUGGGAGUGUCCUAAAUGAUUAGACUGCAAAAGAAAUCUCUGUAGUAUUUGUGACUUAUUUAGAGUAAUGUUCAAAACACACUUGUUGCUUUUAGCCUAGAGGCAAUAAGAAUUCCUUUGUGAAAUAGGCUCAUGUCUGAAUGUCGUUAUUUUAAUGAAAUGCAUCUUUGCGAUCAUUUUUGAACCAAUAUUCUUUCGGUCUUUUUGAAUAAUUAUUCUUUCAUUCUUUUAGAUUUUCUUCCACAUCAUUCAUUCAUUCAUUCAUAAUCAUAUUGUAUAAAUAGUUGUUCAUAAAUUUCUUUUGUAUAUUCUUUGGUAUUUAUUAUGGGCCCCCAAAUAUCAAUGACAUGAAUGACGCUGCUACAUAUUCAGGAUCUACUUUUGAGCAAGGCAUGUGUUUAGAGAGAUCUCAUGACUUUGAAGAUGACAUAGAUCGUAGCCUAUCUCCAAGCUUGUUGAGGAUGGUAGAGCAAGAAGAGAACAAAUUUUACCUCUUGAAGAGACAGUGGAGAUCGUGACCUCGACGGAAUAUGCAUAACCGGAGAAACGAAGUAAGACCUUGUUAAGUUAUUUCAAGAGUUCAAAGAUGUCUUCGUAUGGUUAUACCAGGAUAUGCCCAAGUUAAGCAUUGAUAUUGUAAUCUGAGCAAUAGCACAUUAAAAAUUUGUAGUAUGUUCAAGAUGAACGUUAGAAUUCUUUACCGGGGCAAUACCUUCUUCUCUGGCUUAUCCCAUUGAAGUCAAAUUGUCAUUUUUCUGUAUUUUUGUUGGAUUUCAUCCUAAUUGAAGAGGAAGAUCUAAAAUUUUCUCAUCAUAGUUAAAUUUCACCCCAAAAGGCUCUAUGAGAGAAACUUGAUGCCAAAGAAAAUCUUUCGCAUACAAAAUGAAAGUGGAAGAUCUUAUGGGGAAGACCUUAUCUGGAAUAAUAUUGAUUCUGAUCGAAAGGGAUGAUCAGGACUUGCCUAAUACUAUGAGUGUAGAUUCAAUACAAAAAAAGGGAAAAAAAGAAAAGAAGAAGAAAAAAAAAGAACAAAAAACAAAAAUAAAAAGAAACAAAAAAACAUCUACCUGGGCAAUGUCUUUCUCUUUAGCUUAUCACGAUUUUUUCCAUUGAAGUUAAAAUUCUUUCUCUUCGGGUAUUGGCUGAGCUAAAGUAGGAUGAAGAUCCAACCUCGAUACGAUCAGUUGAACUUAAUUGAAAGAAAAAGGCUAAAAGUUAUUCGUCAUGGUCAGAUGUACCAAAAACAGAUGAUACGAGCUUACAACAAAAAGGUUCGUCCUAAAGAAUUCCACGAGGGAGACCUGGUAUUGAAAAAGAUCCUUCCUCUAGAAAAGGAUUUUAGAGAAAAAUGAGUGCCAAAGUGGGAAUGUCCUUAUGUUGUAAAGAAGACAUUUUUUGGAGGAGCACUGAUCUUGAGUGAGAUGGAUAGUAAAAAACUUGUCUAAUCCUGUAAACUCAGAUUUAGUCAAGAAAUACUUCGCUUAAAGAAGGAGAGGACCAAGGUAAAAACCCGCAAAUAGUAGUUUGAGUCGUAAAAAAAUGAUGAUGUGAAAAAAUAUGAAAAAAUGAAAAUGAAAAAUGAAAAAUGAAAAACUGAAAAAUAAAAAAAAUAAAAAUGGAGAGGCUAAGAUGAAAACCUGCAAAGGGCGCCUUCGACUAAAGGGGAUUUGAGUUGAAAACCCAAAAAGGGCGGCUCAAAUUUUGAUCAGAAUGGGGCAUGAGGUAAUAAGAGUAGCUCAAAUUUUGAUCAGAUUGGGGCAUGUGGCAAUCUUACUAUGCCUGAACCAGCAGGAAAGGGGUACGUGACAUCUUGGAGCAUCGACAGAGUAUUGUAGAUCUCCUAAGCACAUGUCAAACUCAGAAUGGUCUUCAGGAAGUUUGUACAGAGAAGUUCAAGUUGCGAUAUCUGGGACACCUAGUUUUCAUACUAUUUUUAUUGAAUUGCCUGUUCUUGGGAUGCUUCAUUCUUUUUCAAGAUACAAGUCAAUUCUUCUUUUAUUCUUAAUAUUCUUGAUAAUAUAUUCAUCUCAAGCUAUGUUCUCAAAUCAAUUCUAUGUUAUCCAUCGUUUUGCUCUUUUUGCAAGCAUGUUACAUUAGAAUAAUGAUUAAUGGGCUAAUAAAACUUUCACAAGGGAAGUUUCGCAUAUUACUCUAGAAGUUUCUAAAUAAAUACAGGAACCUGAAACAGGACUAUUGUUUAGAACGCACCAGGUUUAAAGGUUGGAUAUCUGAGAAGGAAAAGUCUAAAUUAGGACUUUCUUUUUGAUUUUGUUGUCAAAAACAUUGAUUGAACAAAACGACAGGAUGAUACGUUGGUGGCAAGGCUUAGAUGAACAAGCAAGCAAUGGUCACCAAGCAAUAGGAAGAGGUGUCCUUGGAGAAGAAAGCAUUUAUUUUUGCAUGAGCAUUUGGUAUGACACCUUGGGAAUGAUGUAAAGAACCAAAGAGUUUCACAUUCUAUAUCCUUGAAUUGCGAUAGGAGAGGAUUGAGAAAAGACCAGAUUUUUCUACCCUUGGGUUACAGUGAGAGAAAGAUGGUACAAAUUUUACGUCCCAAUGGACGAAACUUUGAAAUUCAUGGUGGAGGGCAAUCUGAUCAAGCGUUUCUUUGGAGAUGCUAGCCGAGCAAGAGGACGUUGUAGUGCGUCAGUGAUACGACUUUAAUAAACUUUGAGUAAUGACUGCCUCAGUGAUAAAAAAGGAUCAUUCUCGAAAAAUAAUAUUCUACAUUCAUUCAAAUGUCAUUCAUACACGUUUAGUUAGGAGCAUUUGAUUCAUUUUGAUCAUGACAUCCUAAUCACUAGGCAUAAUUAGGUUCAUAAUUUGAAUUAUACAGGUCAUGUUCCCUAGAGAACAAACCGGUAAAACUUCAGCCUUAUCUUCUUGAACAGCAGUGGAGUAGGUUGAAAAUAGCAGAUUUUUAUUUCCUUGGCAUUGUAGCGGAGAAGAUUGAAGCCACGACGACGAAUCUUAUCUCUCUAGCGUUAAGGCUUGGAUUAGUUGAAGUGGAGCGGAUUGAAGCUGUGGGCAGCGAAUCCUAUCUCUUUGACAUUGCAAUUUAAAAGAUUGAAGCCACAACGGCAGAUCUUACUUCCCUGGCGGUGUAGUGGAGCAGAUUGAAGUCACAACGGUAGAUCUGGUUUCCCCGACAGCGCAAUUAAAAAGAUUGAAGCCACAACAGCGGAUCUUACUUCCCGGGCGGUGCAGUGGAGCAAAUUGAAAUCACAACGGCAAAUCUGGUUUCCCCGACAGUGCAAUUAAAAAGAUUGAAGCCACAACGGCAGAUCUUACUUCCCUGGCGGUGCAGUGGAGCAGAUUGAAGUCACAACGACAGAUCUGGUUUCCCCGAUAGUGCAAUUAAAAAGAUUGAAGCCACAACGGCGGAUCUUACUUCCCUAGCGGUGCAGUGGAGCAGAUUGAAGUCACAACGGCAGAUUUGGUUUCCCCGACAACACAAUUUAAAAGAUUGAAGCCACAACGACGAAUCUUACUUCCCUGGCGGUGCAAUGAAGCAAAUUGAAGUCACAAUGGCGGAUCUGGUUUCCCCGACAGCGUAAUUAAAAAGAUUGAAGCCACAAUGACGGAUCUUACCUUCUUAGCGGUGCAGUUGAACAAAUUUAAGCUACGACGGUGGAUCUUGUUUCCUCGACAUUGUAAUUGGAUAAAUUGAAGAAGUAGAGCAGAUCGUAUCAGACUCAUCUUUGAAGUUGUAGCAGAAUAAGUUGAAGCUACGAGUCUUAUCUCCCUGAAGUUACGAUGGAGCAGACUAGAGAUUGCAAGUUUUGUUCUUUUGAGAAGCUACAAGGUACAAGUCCUAUCUCCUUGAUGUUGUAAUGGAGUGGAUUGAAGCACUAGUUCCUAUACCUCUGAGGAUGCAGUAGGAUGGAAUGAGCCUUUAAAGAAGAAGAAUAGCACUAAGGUCCAGCAUGACCGGGCCAAAUUGGCCAUUUUUAAAGUCUUUUCCCUGUUCUCGUUACACGACAACGAGCAAAGAGGGGCAGCUGUAAUACCCAAUUUUAGCCCGGGCCUAAAUAAACAAAGGUGCCCAGUCCAUUUAAAAACUUAAUUCACGUGGCCCAAUUACAAAUGUUACAAGCCCAAAUUGUAACCAAAUUACAUUAGCCUAAAACCUAAUUUAACCUAGCCCAAUAAACCCAUCAAAGAACCCUCUUCGCAUCAGUGCUACAGCAGCAAGUAGCCUUCCCAGUGCCGCACACGUUCUUCCUCCAACGGUUAUCAUCUCGCACAACCCACAUUCUCCAACGCCCACACCUGCAACAAAUCAUGACCACGAACAAAGAUAAUAGCAAAAAAUACAAGGGAAAAAAGGAAAAAAAGAGAAAGUAGUUUUUGGGAGUUUUGAUUCCCUUAUUUCGGCUAUUAAAGCCAAAUGGAUUUUUGUAAAUCAGGGUUAGAAAUUUUUGGUACUGAAAUAAAAAGAGAAAAUACAAAAGAGAAAGAAAUAGAAAAGAAAGUUUUUGAAGGUGAUUAUUUUGUUUUUUCUUUACUUUUAUUGUUUUUUGGAUGUUCUUCUUGGUUCUUUAAAACAAAUAAACGAAGAGGGAGAGAAAGGAGGCUUACCUGGUGUUGCCGGAGCGUCGUCGGAGGCCAAGGGACGGCCUGGUGGCGGUGGAUCUUUGACGGCGGCGACGUGGGGGGUGCUAGGGUUGAAACCCUAACAGAGCAACCCCCCAUUUUUUUCCUCUCCUUUUUGUUUUAAAAC
rnacentral:lncRNA from 1 species